rnacentral:rRNA from 1 species
GAUGAACGCUGGCGGCGUGCCUAAUACAUGCAAGUCGAGCGAACAGACGAGGAGCUUGCUCCUCUGACGUUAGCGGCGGACGGGUGAGUAACACGUGGAUAACCUACCUAUAAGACUGGGAUAACUUCGGGAAACCGGAGCUAAUACCGGAUAAUAUAUUGAACCGCAUGGUUCAAUAGUGAAAGACGGUUUUGCUGUCACUUAUAGAUGGAUCCGCGCCGCAUUAGCUAGUUGGUAAGGUAACGGCUUACCAAGGCAACGAUGCGUAGCCGACCUGAGAGGGUGAUCGGCCACACUGGAACUGAGAACAGGGCCCGACUCCUACGGGAGGCAGCAGUAGGGAAUCUUCCGCAAUGGGCGAAAGCCUGACGGAGCAACGCCGCGUGAGUGAUGAAGGUCUUCGGAUCGUAAAACUCUGUUAUUAGGGAAGAACAAAUGUGUAAGUAACUAUGCACGUCUUGACGGUACCUAAUCAGAAAGCCACGGCUAACUACGUG